AGUGAACGCUGGCGGUAGGCCUAACACAUGCAAGUCGAACGGCAGCACAGUAAGAGCUUGCUCUUACGGGUGGCGAGUGGCGGACGGGUGAGGAAUACAUCGGAAUCUACUUUUUCGUGGGGGAUAACGUAGGGACACUUACGCUAAUACCGCAUACGACCUACGGGUGAAAGCAGGGGAUCUUCGGACCUUGCGCGAUUGAAUGAGCCGAUGUCGGAUUAGCUAGUUGGCGGGGUAAAGGCCCACCAAGGCGACGAUCCGUAGCUGGUCUGAGAGGAUGAUCAGCCACACUGGAACUGAGACACGGUCCAGACUCCUACGGGAGGCAGCAGUGGGGAAUAUUGGACAAUGGGCGCAAGCCUGAUCCAGCCAUACCGCGUGGGUGAAGAAGGCCUUCGGGUUGUAAAGCCCUUUUGUUGGGAAAGAAAAGCAGCAGGUGAAUACCCCGCUGUUCUGACGGUACCCAAAGAAUAAGCACCGGCUAACUUCGUG
rnacentral:rRNA from 1 species